GUAGUGCCUGCUGCUGUCGGUACAUGCACUCCCUGGGGUGUGGGUGAGCACAGGCACUCCGCUGUAGGAGCAUUCCUGGGACAUUUCUGCUGUCCGGUGCAUGUAUACACAUUCACAACAGCAAAUCUCGCUGUGCACAGGAUUGUGGCUGAAGUAAACAGUCAUAUUUCAUGUUCAUUUGACUGCCUGUUCCUGUUGCUGUUUAGCUUUGGCAGGAAAUUCAAAAUAAUAUUCUUUGGAAGCUUCUCCAGCAACGUUUUGCCUGUAAUUCACAACUGUUGGAAAAAAAACACCGGUUUCCAGCUGAACUUCCUUGAAGCCUUUGUGUGGCCUUGGGUGUGUUUGACAGUGGCAUAAACUUUUGGGAGGACAUAAUUUCAUCUUGACACCAGGAUUCUGCGGUCAAGGUAUGCUUAUUUUUGUAUUGGUUAUGUUUUUUUUUUAGAUGCAAAGGCAGCAUCACUUAUGUUCCACUGUUGAACCUCUGUUUUUGUAUGGAACACAUUCCUGUUUUUUUGUAGUUCCUUGUGUUCAGGCUAGGGGCACUCUGAGAAUUUGGUGUAGGUGAAAGAUCUUUUGAAAAGCCUGUGUAUCCAGUUCAAUGAUUUUUGCAGUGCUUUGAACCUCUCCUAAGGCUCACUAGGUGAUUUGCAGAAUGGUUUCUCUAAAACAACUUCCAAAUUCUUCCAAUUCAGUUGGAGACUACUCAUAAUCAAACACCACUAUUGGCUUUAUCAGUUCACAGAUAGUGCUGGCAGGGUUAGUCAUUUGGAAGCAGAUCCUGCCAUCAGUUUUACAGAAAAUAGGCAGCAACUCAUUCAGUAUUGCACUAGUUGAAAACUUUGGCUUUAUAUUAGCUUAAGGACAGUGUGAGAGACAUCAUUACAUGCAGGUUCUUUUUAGCAGUCUCUAGAGGCUUUUUAACUUCUGAAGUCACUCUGUAUAAGCAGUGUUGCAGGGACAGAGAACAGUCCUUGGGCACAGACCAGCGGGGUGAUCACAGGCACAGCAUACCACCCUGUGUGCCUUUGGCUGCCCUUCAGCCUCUGCCUUGUAUUUUUAGCUUGCAGUCUCCUUAGUGGAAGAAUUGUCUCUUCUUGCUAUAUUUGUAGCACGUUGAGCAUAGUGGGUGGAUCAGCAGUUGCGUCCGCUCCUCCUCUGGUCUGUAAUAAGAAAUAAAUAUUCAGAAAUAAUUCCUUAAUUGUCAUUAAUGAAGACUUUGUUUCCUAACAAGUACAUGACAAGGCCUCCUUGUUUAAGGGAAUUUGUUUGAUCUGUUCCUGACAUGGAUGUCUUUGUCACACAACAGGUGCUUCAAAUCACUAAUCUCCUGCAGUCCGAGCUGGUAUUUAUUACUGUUCAAUGUCAGAUCCUCUUGCUUGGCAUAGCAGGGCAUACCACACAACCUGCAAGUUGUGCUGGUGAGAAUAUUUAAUCACAUAUCAGCAGAUUAUCUAUAAUUAGCUCUAUCACAGCUAGAUCCUUUGAGAUCUUCAGUGGGAAGAUAACAUCUACUCCAAGGACUGAAACAACCCUGCAGGGAAGACUGGAGCCCAGCUGCAAAGUAUUGCUGGAAUAGAUUUGAGCUGGUUAAAGCCUUUGAUGAUCAGUCUGAAGUUGUAUAGAGCUUCAUAUUUUGAAGUCCAGCUUUGACUUCCUUGAGCUGUUCCAGUGGGUAAA
rnacentral:lncRNA from 1 species